rnacentral:rRNA from 1 species
AAACCAGCACCUCAAGUGGUCAGGAUGAUUAUUGGGCCUAAAGCAUCCGUAGCCGGCUCUGUAAGUUUUCGGUUAAAUCUGUACGCUCAACGUACAGGCUGCCGGGAAUACUGCAGAGCUAGGGAGUGGGAGAGGUAGACGGUACUCGGGAGGAAGUGGUAAAAUGCUUUGAUCUCUCGAUGACCACCUGUGGCGAAGGCGGUCUACCAGAACACGUCCGACGGUGAGGGAUGAAAGCUGGGGGAGCAAACCGGAUUAGAAACCUGGGUAGUCC